GAGGCGAGGUGCGUAGAGCAGGCACGAUCGGCCGGAACAACGCGUAGCAUAGGAGGGUCAGCAGCGGGCAGCUUGAAGAUGAUGACCGCGAGCGCCGGCGGGUUCUGGAUGAGGUCAACGAGCCGGUAAUGCAGUCAGCCUGGAGUGUGACGUUUUAUUUCUGCUUCCUCGCGGCCAACCCUCCAGCCAUGUCUUCGUCCGACUCUGAGUAUAAUGGAGGUUCUUCUCGUUAAAAUUGCUGCAGUCUUGGUCCUCGUCGUUGUAGCCCAAUAAUUCUUUAGCCAGAGCUGGCUGAUCUCAGUGAUUGCUAGCUUCCGCCCGCUGAUUAAAUCAAUCAAUGGAAAGAGUACUAGUUUAAUCACACACGUACUAUCAAUGACUCAUGGACUCGGUCUUCAUACAAAGUUGUAAAAUCGAGACUACUAGUGACUCGGAUUGGGCCUCGAGAUUUUGAUCCGAUAUUUGGUUUUGUACUGCCAUAACUUACUGCGACUGCCAGGAUCAGCGAUCCAGCAGAAAAAGAAUAUUUGUCAGUCUUGAUGAC
rnacentral:lncRNA from 1 species